CUGUUAUGAUGAUCUAUCAAGGUUUCGCUAAUAUCACUGAUUUUCCGUGAUGAUUCCUCUUGGCAGACUGAACAG